GGUGAACGUUGGCGGUGCGUCUAAUACAUGCAAGUCGAGCGAGGCUUCGAGCCGAGCGGCAGACGGCUGAGUAACACGUUGGUAACUACCUCAAACUCAGGGAUAACUCCGAGAAAUCGGUGCUAAUACCGGAUGGUCCCGUAAGGGUAAAGUUUUUACGGUUUGAGAGGUGCCUGCGUCCUAUCAGGUAGUUGGUGAGGUAACGGCUCACCAAGCCUAUGACGGGUAACUGGUCUGAGAGGAUGACCAGUCAGAGGGAAACUGAGACACGGUUCCCACUUCUACGGAAGGCAGCAGUAAAGAAUCUUCCACAAUGGACGAAAGCCUGAUGGAGCGACACCGCGUGCAGGAUGAAGGCCCUUGGGUCGUAAACUGCUUUUUUGGGGGAAAAAUUCUGAUUGUACCCUAAGAAUAAGCACCGGCAAAUCACGUG
rnacentral:rRNA from 1 species